GACGAACGCUGGCGGCGCGCUUAACACAUGCAAGUCGAGCGAUGAAAUUUCGACAGAUCCCUUCGGGGUGAAGAUGAAAUGGAUUAGCGGCGGACGGGUGAGUAACACGUGAGUAACCUGCCUUUGACAUUGGGAUAGCCUCGGGAAACUGGGAUUAAUACCAAAUGACACUAACUGAUCACAUGAUCAAUUAGUCAAAGAAAUUCGGUCAAAGAUGGACUCGCGGCUGAUUAGCUAGUUGGUGGGGUAACGGCCCACCAAGGCGACGAUCAGUGGCCGGGCUGAGAGGGUGACCGGUCACAUUGGAACUGAGACACAGACCAAACUCCUACGGGAGGCAGCAGUGGGGAAUAUUGCGCAAGGGAGGAAAACCUGAUGCAGCGACGCCGCGUGAGCGAAGAAGGCCUUCGGGUCGUAAAGCUCUUUUAUGAGGGAAGAUAAUGACGGUACCUCAAGAAAAAGCCCCGGCUAACUACGUG
rnacentral:rRNA from 1 species